rnacentral:lncRNA from 1 species
AGGGCAUCAGGCUUGAGGGGAUUCGGGGGCUCCCUCCACUCCGAACCCCGAAUCUUCGACUUUGAAUUCGAAGGGGGGAAGGGCUUGGAGGGAGAGGCCAAGGCCAAAGGCUCGAGAGGAACUCUUUUUUUAGAGCUCGCGGAGGAAUCGUCCCGAUGAGCGUCACCUCGGUGAUGCGUCCCGAGCCCUAUAUAAGCCGCUCUUCCUGGCUCCGGAGAAGCAUAGAGCAGGCGGGAGGCGACCGUAGCCUUUCAGAGUAGUCAGCCAGCUGCCAGCGGGAUUUGGGUUGGGGCUUCCAGGAAUGGCUCCCAGGGAGAAAGGAGAAGGGGGCUCGGGGAGAAAGCGGCACUUAACAGGGGCCUCUCGGGAGCUUAGUGAGCUGUGGACGGGCGAAGCAAGAGAGGGAAGGGUGGAGAAAAGCUUUGUGGGGUGAGACUGGAUUCCUUUUGCAGUAAAUAGGAGUCUUGAUCCACGGCUGUUAAUCUGCCCGUUGGAGGAGAAAGGAGCUUUCUGGAAGGGCACCCCCGAGAUUAUGGCUUAGAAGCGGGGGUGCCCUGGCAAAGGGUUUGUGGACCAUCCUGGGGGUGUGAGACUGGGAAAGCCCCAGGAGGUGCUGCUCAGCACAGAUGUUGUGGAAAAGGACUUAGCUCCUGGAGGCUCAGGGUGUGUUCAUCCGGACGGUCUGAUGGCAGCAUCAGAAAUGGAGCAGUUUGCCCAAUGAGCCCCUAGCGAGCGUGCGGCAGGGAGAGAGCUCACCGAGAAAGCUCGUUUCCUUCAGAGCCAUCGUAGUUGAUGCCUCCAGUCUUGUAAAGAAAGCUCAUCAGCUUAAUGUUGGCAGAGCCCCUUCAGGAAGUGGUCGCGGUUGAGGUUGCUGGCCUUUUCAGUGUCACGUGGGUGUGUUGAUAAUUUGGCCGCCAGCGCCAGCGGCCCGGGGGAGACGCCUCCGGGCCACAUCCUGGCGUCUCUGCUGAGGAUGGGCCGCGGCCUCGGAGCCUCGGCCCCUCCCGCCGUGGCUGUUAGGGCCCCGGCAGCCCAGCCGACCUUUAAAGUGCCCGGGGGGUGGGGGUUGUCAGGUGCCAGCUUCCCAGUCCGAGGCUCCUCCGCGUAAGCCGGUUUCCAGUUAAGAACUUCUUGGCGCCAAGAAGACCGAGCUGGGAAGCGCCACGAACUAUUGUAAGAUGGAACUGAGAUACGGACCCCGCCCGCGGGCGGCCGCUUCUAGAGCGGCCGAGGGAUCGCGCUCCUGCACUGCUUAAAGCCAAAGGACCCGAGCAGUGAGCUCGCGGCAGAGCCGAACCGUACACGGAGAGGGGCCGG